rnacentral:rRNA from 1 species
UUCGAAUUGAAGGCUGAAAUUCGCCUUCAUGAAGUCGGAAUUGCUAGUAAUGGCAGGUCAGCAUACUGCCGUGAAUACGUUCCCGGGGCCUUGUACACACCGCCCGUCACACCAUGAGAGUUGGAGAUACCCGAAGCCUGUGAGCUAACUUAAAGAGGCAGCAGUCGAAGGUAGAGCCAAUGAUUGGGGUGAAGUCGUAACAAGGUACC